ACGGAGGGGGCUAGCGUUGUUCGGAAUUACUGGGCGUAAAGCGCACGUAGGCGGCGUGUUUAGUCAGGGGUGAAAGGCCCAGGCUCAACCUGGGAACGGCCUUUGAUACUGGCACGCUUGAGUCCGAGAGGGGGUGGUGGAACUCCCAGUGUAGAGGUGAAAUUCGUAGAUAUUGGGAAGAACACCGGUGGCGAAGGCGACCACCUGGCUCGGAACUGACGCUGAGGUGCGAAAGCGUGGGGAGCAAACAG
rnacentral:rRNA from 1 species